CACCGGUGGCGAAAGCGGCUCUCUGGUCUGUAACUGACGCUGAGGCUCGAAAGCGUGGGGAGCGAACAGGAUUAGAUACCCUGGUAGUCCACGCCGUAAACGAUGAGUGCUAGGUGUUAGGCCCUUUCCGGGGCUUAGUGCCGCAGCUAACGCAUUAAGCACUCCGCCUGGGGAGUACGACCGCAAGGUUGAAACUCAAAGGAAUUGACGGGGGCCCGCACAAGCGGUGGAGCAUGUGGUUUAAUUCGAAGCAACGCGAAGAACCUUACCAGGUCUUGACAUCCCGAUGCCCGCUCUAGAGAUAGAGUUUUACUUCGGUACAUCGGUGACAGGUGGUGCGUGGUUGUCGUCAGCUCGUGUCGUGAGAUGUUGGGUUAAGUCCCGCAACGAGCGCAACCCUUAUUGUUAGUUGCCAUCAUUCAGUUGGGCACUCUAGCGAGACUGCCGGUAAUAAACCGGAGGAAGGUGGGGAUGACGUCAAAUCAUCAUGCCCCUUAUGACCUGGGCUACACACGUGCUACAAUGGCUGGUACAACGAGUCGCAAGUCGGUGACGGCAAGCUAAUCUCUUAAAGCCAGUCUCAGUUCGGAUUGUAGGCUGCAACUCGCCUACAUGAAGUCGGAAUCGCUAGUAAUCGCGGAUCAGCACGCCGCGGUGAAUACGUUCCCGGGCCUUGUACACACCGCCCGUCACACCACGAGAGUUUGUAACACCCGAAGUCGGUGAGGUAACCUNUUAGGAGCCA
rnacentral:rRNA from 1 species